ensembl:lncRNA
CAGAAAGAAGCGGAAGGGAAGGCAGGAAUCUGACUUGCUGCAAGUUUCAGAAAAGGCUGAAACUGGUCUGUUGGAAUAAGCAGAGGACCAGGAAACAGGAGCACCUGUGUUGCAUAGCUUUGGGCAGGUGUGAAGAAACGGCGGCUGCGUGCUGUACCAAGGCUGAGAGCUCCUGAAGCUUCUGCUCUCCCUUUUUGCUCCACGUGGAUGCGGUAUCUGGCAGGGUGACAGCCCAGUCCCUCCCUGCCCGUGCUCCAUGUGUUGCCACUUUGCUGGGCUGCGUCCCACACCAACAUAACGUUCCUCUUGUCUGCGUGCUGAAUGUGCUAAGGCAUGCCAGAAGUAGGGCAUCAGCCAAGCGCUGAUACAGAAAGGAUGUACAGUGGGUAAAAGGUCCUAUGGUUUGGCCUUGGUUCUCUCUCUCUUUAUUUUUUUCUGGGUAGCUCUUCGUGGUUACGUGUUCUGGGCCAUGUUUGGAUUUUGCUAAGUCUGAUUGACACAACUACUUCUUCAAUCACCGUGGACAGCUUACUACAGGCUGAUGUGCCUGUGGUCAAGAACAAAAGGGACGAGGAGAAAAACAUUUUCUUCGUAGUCGGGAAAGCUGCUGUAGAUUCGGCAUCGCGCUUUAACUCGUGUUGUAUCAAAGAAAUACAACAAUAGCAGAAAUUAUUAUUUAUAGGAAGGUCUGUGAAUUCAGGAUGUGAUAUUAUGAGUCACCCGACGGCAAACAUGUUUGCACUCCGACUGCUAUGACUCAUGCUGGCAUUUGUCUUCAGCGUGGCAAUUGCUGGAGCCCUCUGCUUGGUGCACAAUGAAUGAAAGGGCUGAGGUCCCGCUGCAGACGUACUAUGUGCAGCUACACUGCUGAAUCGCAGACUCAGCUGGAGAGCAUUUCCUGUAACACAGACACACGCGUGCACACGCACACAUACACACACACACACACACACACACACACUCAACCGUAACACUUCAGGUUUACAUACUAGAUUCAUAGAAAGGAAAUGCAUAAUUACAGUGCUGGCUUGUGCACCACAUAAAGCAGCCCACAUCAAAAGGUGUUCGCCAUUAAUGUUUCAACAGGUAAUCUCUGGAUUUAUUGCCAAGCGGUGUUCCUGUUACUUAGCGUUUGGUGUUGAAAUCUCUGCUGUGAGCCAGUGUAGUCAUCUUAAUCCUGCAAAAAAAAAAAAAAAAGAAAGUUUG